rnacentral:rRNA from 1 species
UACAGAGGUCUCAAGCGUGUUCGGAUUCAUUGGGCGUAAAGGGUGCGUAGGCGGCGCGGUAAGUCGGGUGUGAAAUCUCGGGGCUUAACUCCGAAACUGCAUUCGAUACUACCGUGCUUGAGGACUGGAGAGGAGACUGGAAUUUACGGUGUAGCGGUGAAAUGCGUAGAUAUCGUAAGGAAGACCAGUGGCGAAGGCGGGUCUCUGGACAGUUCCUGACGCUGAGGCACGAAGGCCAGGGGAGCAAACGGG